ACACUGAUGUGGCUGUACAAAACAUUGCCUACUGUACAGACAUCGGUUGGCGUUAAUCCAACUCCUCAAACAGCAGCUGGGGAACAGCUUUUAUAAGACAUCUAUAAAAUAUGGAGGAUUUUAAUUGAAGUAACGGGAUUAAACACGCUGGAUACUUUUCCUGCCACUCUUUCCCCUUGGACUCUUGGACACUCCUUAAUUUUUGUUCGCUGCAUGUGGACCGAGUUCAGCAGCGAUCCCAGCAGACGUUCCCUGGUGGUUUGUCUAUAGAAAAUGGCAACUGCUCUCAGUGGCCGAAACCCUGGAGGACGAGGACCGAACCGAAGUAAGGGUCGGAUUUUAGGCAUUUUUGAUGCCAUCCAGGAUGCAGUGGGGCCAGUGAAACAAGCAGCUGCUGACCGGCGGACUGUGGAGAAAACCUGGAAACUCAUGGAUAAAGUUGUCCGCCUUUGCCAAAAUCCUAGACUCCAGCUGAAAAACAGUCCACCUUACAUCCUGGAUAUCUUACCUGAUGCCUACCAGCACCUGCGACUUACACUAGGAAAAUAUGAAGAGAACCAGAGACUCACACAGCUCAGUGAGAAUGAGUACUUUAAAAUCUACAUUGAUAGCCUUAUGAGGAAAUCCAAACGGGCCAUCCGGCUCUUCAAAGAGGGAAAGGAGAGGAUGUAUGAGGAGCAGUCACAGGACAGGAGGAACCUGACCAAGCUGUCUCUAAUCUUCAGCCACAUGCUAGCUGAAAUCAAAGCCAUAUUUCCAGGAGGACAAUUCCAGGGGGACAGUUUCAGGAUCACUAAAGCUGAUGCAGCUGACUUCUGGAGGAAUUUCUUUGGAGAAAAGACAAUAGUGCCAUGGAAAGUCUUCCGACAGUGCCUUCAUGAAGUGCAUCCCAUCAGCUCGGGCCUGGAGGCUAUGGCCCUCAAAUCCACCAUCGACCUCACCUGCAACGACUACAUUUCUGUGUUUGAGUUUGACAUUUUCACACGCCUCUUCCAGCCAUGGGGAUCAAUUCUGAGGAACUGGAAUUUCCUGGCAGUGACACACCCCGGCUACAUGGCCUUCCUUACCUAUGAUGAAGUUAAGGCCCGCCUGCACAAGUACAUGAACAAGCCUGGCAGUUACAUCUUCAGACUGAGUUGCACACGACUGGGCCAGUGGGCCAUCGGCUAUGUGACCAAUGAUGGCAACAUACUACAGACCAUCCCCCACAACAAACCACUGUUCCAGGCCCUCAUUGAUGGCUACAGAGAGGGCUUCUACUUGUUCCCUGAUGGUCGAAGCUACAAUCCUGACCUCACUGGUUUAUGUGAGCCAACGCCUCAAGAUCACAUCAAAGUGACACAAGAGCAGUAUGAGCUGUACUGUGAAAUGGGCUCCACCUUUCAGCUUUGUAAGAUAUGUGCAGAGAACGACAAAGAUGUCAAGAUCGAACCCUGUGGUCACCUUAUGUGUACUUCCUGUCUUACAGCCUGGCAGGAAUCGGAUGGUCAGGGCUGUCCGUUCUGUCGUUGUGAGAUCAAAGGCACAGAGCCCAUCAUUGUCGAUCCCUUUGACCCACGAAAUGAGGGUACCAAGUGCUUCUUCCUGGACCAGCACAGCUGCCCCAUGCUGGAGCUGGAUGAUGAGGAAGACCGAGAGGACUGCCUAGUCAUGAAUGGACUGGCCAACAUCAGGAAGCACUGUGCAGAGCGUCAGAACUCUCCCAUGGUGUCUCCCAACUCUUCACCGGUCAGCCAACACAGAAAAGUCCACGGAGGAGACCCCAGCCACUGCACCAUCCAGCACCUCGGCCUUCCCCCGGUCCCACCACGACUUGACCUCAUCCAGAAAGGUGCCAUUCGCUCCCCAUCUGCCAGUCCCACUGGCUCCCCAAAGUCUUCGCCAGGCAUGACCAGGAAGCAGGACAAGCCUCUCCCAGCCCCACCUCCUCCACAGAGGGACCCACCUCCACCGCCUCCCCCUGAGCGUCCUCCUCCCAUUCCUCUAGAGUUGCGUCAUUCUUGGCUCAGCAGUUCAUCUGCUUUGUCAUCUUCCCUCUUAUCUUCUACCGGCACACUCUCAGACUCCCAGAUGCCCCCCGACACAAGGUGUCCAACAGACAGCCACUUUGCAGAUGUCCACAGGGCUGGAUCUGAGCACCUGCUCCAGUUGGAACCCACCGGCCCCGCUCACCUGAACGGAGGACCACUCAGUUGUCCAUUUGCUGGAUUUGGGAGAUCACAUCAAAGAAUGGAGGGGGCAGGAACCUCAGAAAGCUCCAAGCCCUUCUCUAAUAGUGUGCAAGUCAGUGAUGAGUAUGACAUCCUUCCCUCACGGCACUCACCAACGCAGUCCACCCUUGCAAGUAGCCACAAACCUUCCAACCCUUUCAGUAGGCCUGUGAGAGAACAACAGCGCGGCGUGACAGAGAGGGUGGAGGAAGAUUAUCAGAUCCCUUCAUCCAACCUCUGCUUGAGCCAGGCUCCCAUCUGCAUAUCUGUACACAACAGGCAUUUGGAGAACAGCUCUCCAGAGCCCUCCACUGAUGAGAAGAAGCCCCAACCCCCAGAGCCUGGUGGACACUCCGAGUCGGUAAGGGGGUUGAUCUCGCGGGUGGCACAUACCCCCCUUUGCCCCUUCAACACCAAGAAGACACCAUCAGACUAUGACAUUCUGCUGCCCCCACAAGCCUUACAAGAUCCCUUUGGCAGCCGCCCUUCGUCUCAGCCUCCUCCUCCACCGGUGAGACACAGCUUCACCGACCUCUCCUCCUCUUCUCCGUCCGCAUUCUGCACCUCCUCCAUGUCCUCCUCCUCUGUCAUCGCACGGCCAGACAGGCCCUCCUCUGGACAUGAGCAUUUGCUGUUAACCCCCGACACAGUGCUUGACAUGCUGAAAAGUGCUGCGCCUCUGCCUCCAGUCAGACGACACAAAGAACAUGUUAAAGGCUCCCGAGGUUGCCUGGAGUACAACCAUUUAUCAGCCAGUCAAGUAUCGAUGGACUGUUUGCAGGCCCCUGCCAGACCGCCCAAGCCACUGCCCAGGAAGAUCCCUCCAGACAUUCAGCCUGGCAAACCCCACAGCUUGGAGUCAGAAAACGUGGACGCCAAAAUUGCCAAGCUGAUGGGGGAGGGUUACUCCUUUGAGGAUGUGAAGCGGGCGUUGAUGAUUGCCCAGUACAAAGUUGACGUGGCCCGAAACAUUCUGCGAGAGUUUGCUUAGUGGCCCCAAGUCUGUCUCUCUAGUCCAAGAGACAGUGAAAGGGGAGCACAACAAUUAAGCUGUGCCUCUGAAUGGACUGACUAAAAAGGGCUUUUUUAUUGUGCUUGGCCUGGGACUGUUAAUCAACAUGAACAAAAAAAUAUUUCAAGAGACUUGCCUUUUGUUGACAAACAGAGAUAAUAAUGCACAACAAAGUGGCCAAGACCAAAUCACAGUAGAACAAAGAUAAUUAAAAAAUGGGAAAAAAGACUGUCUGUGAAAAGAUUUAAACCUGUAAAAAAAGAACCAGGCUUGGUGUUGUUUACAGUGAGCUUUGCCGGUGCUGGCUGCCUGGUUUUCAAAUGAUCCUGUUUUUCUCCAGGCUGGGAAUGUAUGCCUGUUGUAAAGCCCUAAUCCUGCUACUGCUGCUACUGUUUCUUUCGCCACCCUCCAGAUUUAGUUUGAAGAGCCUUUCAAUCUCAAGCUCUCUACAGGCACAGCCAAUUUGAAGUAGGUCAUUUUAAUUUUCAGCCAGUAGGGAGAGCAAGACUCCACUGUUUUUCUUUCUCUCACUCCUUUUGUUACUUUCACGUCUCUUGUUUCACUAACUCCCUCAUCUUUCUUCACGUGUUGCCCAUUAGAGAAUACUCCACUGUUUGCCCAUGGUCUGGCUGUCUAAUAGGUCUUAACAAGGUCUGAUGAGUCAGGAGCAGUUAGAUGGAGUCAGAGGAUGCCUUAUUGAUUCCUUUGUUUCCCUCAGACCUAGAGCUCCUCCUCUGGAGCUGCUAUGUAGUUUUAGUUAGACAUGGCAUCUUGGUAGUAGGAAACAGGGUGGAAGAGAUAAACUUGUUUUUUGUUUCUGUUACUAGACCAGGAGAUUAAUCAAAUAUGGCCUUUUUUAUUAUCUUCAUCUGAGGACCGCAAGCAUAUGAAUGUAUUUGUUUUGCGCAAGUGAGUUAUACCUUUGUACACUGAGCUCUUCUUGUAGAAAAUAUGUAAUGUUUGUAAAAGUAAAUAUUAAUAAUAUUUCAAAAGCCAGACGAUUGUGCCUGCAUUUCAGCGCAAGCAUUUAAAUAACAUGACAGACCUGUUGUGUAGAUCAGCGAGCCAGACGUCUGACAAUGCUCAAAAAACCAUGUGCUCUGCAGCCAUUACACUGCAGCCGCCUUAAAUUACACAGCAAUCUUAUGGGGAAAUGUCCACAUUCCCCACAUGUUUGAGGAAUCACUCUCAGUCUGAUUAAGAGUGAAAGUCACUCCAGCAAUUAUUCAUUAUUAAUUGAAAUACUGCAGCAAUUAUGCAUUUACAUUGAAGUGGACUCACUUCUGUGAACUGUGAACACAGUAAAGACAAAGAGAACACUGCAGAGCAUUCAAACUAUGAGCUGAGUCAGAUGCAAGAUCCACCGUGCAGUAAAGGCGGAGUUAAAGCCCUUACCUCAGAAUCUGGAAUCAGGUGUAAUCUAAUGACUGUAACACGUCUGACCAAUGUAUUGGGUUUGUUCUAAUGGAAAACAGUAUUGUUUUACUACCCUUUUUUUAUUUUUAAAGUAGUAUCUUAGAUGUCGGCAGAUAUGUGCCAUACUUAUUAGAGGUGCAGUUUGCCAUGAAAUGGGCAAUGUUUACCCAGCUAUUUAUUCUCAUACCGAUUAAAGGAUAAUUCCAGUUUAUAA